GUUGACCUCGGAUCAGGUAGG
rnacentral:rRNA from 93 species